UGCAAGUCGAGGGGCAUCGGGAUUGAAGCUUGCUUCAAUUGCCGGCGACCGGCGCACGGGUGCGUAACGCGUAUGUAACCUACCUAUAACAGGGGCAUAACACUGAGAAAUUGGUACUAAUUCCCCAUAAUAUUAGGAGAGGCAUCUCUCCGGGUUGAAAACUCCGGUGGUUAUAGAUGGACAUGCGUUGUAUUAGCUAGUUGGUGAGGUAACGGCUCACCAAGGCAACGAUACAUAGGGGGACUGAGAGGUUAACCCCCCACACUGGUACUGAGACACGGACCAGACUCCUACGGGAGGCAGCAGUGAGGAAUAUUGGUCAAUGGACGCAAGUCUGAACCAGCCAUGCCGCGUGCAGGAAGACGGCUCUAUGAGUUGUAAACUGCUUUUGUACGAGGGUAAACUCACCUACGUGUAGGUGACUGAAAGUAUCGUACGAAUAAGGAUCGGCUAACUCCGUGCCAGCAGCCGCGGUAAUACGGAGGAUUCAAGCGUUAUCCGGAUUUAUUGGGUUUAAAGGGUGCGUAGGCGGUUUGAUAAGUUAGAGGUGAAAUCCCGGGGCUUAACUCCGGAACUGCCUCUAAUACUGUUAGACUAGAGAGUAGUUGCGGUAGGCGGAAUGUAUGGUGUAGCGGUGAAUGCUUAGAGAUCAUACA
rnacentral:rRNA from 1 species